AGAGCGAACGCUGGCGGCAGGCCUAACACAUGCAAGUCGAGCGCCCGUAGCAAUACGGGAGCGGCAGACGGGAGAGUAACACGUGGGAACGCGCCCUUCGGUUCGGAAUAACUCAGGGAAACUUGAGCUAAUACCGGAUACGCCCUUACGGGGAAAGAUUUAUUGCCGAAGGAACGGCCCGCGUCCGAUUAGCUAGUUGGUGAGGUAAUGGCUCACCAAGGCGACGAUCGGUAGCUGGUCUGAGAGGAUGACCAGCCUCACUGGGACUGAGACACGGCCCAGACUCCUACGGGAGGCAGCAGUGGGGAAUAUUGGACAAUGGGCGCAAGCCUGAUCCAGCCAUGCCGCGUGAGUGAUGAAGGCCCUAGGGUUGUAAAGCUCUUUUGUGCGGGAAGAUAAUGACGGUACGCAAGAAUAAGCCCGGCUAACUUCGUGCCAGCAGCCGC
rnacentral:rRNA from 1 species